UGAGGAAUAUUGGACAAUGGGCGCAAGCCUGAUCCAGCCAUGCCGCGUGCGGGAAGAAGGCCUUCGGGUUGUAAACCGCUUUUGUCAGGGAAGAAACGAGUUUCUCUAAUACAGAGACUUAAUGACGGUACCUGAAGAAUAAGCACCGGCUAACUACGUGCCAGCAGCCGCGGUAAUACGUAGGGUGCAAGCGUUAAUCGGAAUUACUGGGCGUAAAGCGUGCGCAGGCGGUUAUGCAAGACAGAGGUGAAAUCCCCGGGCUCAACCUGGGACCUGCAUUUGUGACUGCAUCGCUGGAGUGCGGCAGAGGGGGAUGGAAUUCCGCGUGUAGCAGUGAAAUGCGUAGAUAUGCGGAGGAACACCGAUGGCGAAGGCAAUCCCCUGGGCCUGCACUGAUGCUCAUGCACGAAAGCGUGGGGAGCAAACA
rnacentral:rRNA from 1 species